rnacentral:rRNA from 1 species
UGCCCUUGGGUCCGGCAUAACCCCGGGAAACUGGGGAUAAUUCCGGAUAACGCACAUAUGCUGGAAUGCUUUAUGCGUCAAAUGGAUUCGUCUGCCCAAGGAUGGGUCUGCGGCCUAUCAGGUAGUAGUGGGUGUAAUGUACCUACUAGCCGACGACGGGUACGGGUUGUGAGAGCAAGAGCCCGGAGAUGGAUUCUGAGACAUGAAUCCAGGCCCUACGGGGCGCAGCAGGCGCGAAAACUUUACAAUGCGGGAAACCGUGAUAAGGGGACACCGAGUGCCAGCAUCAUAUGCUGGCUGUCCGGGUGUGUAAAAUACACCUGUUAGCAAGGGCCGGGCAAGACCGGUGCCAGCCGCCGCGGUAACACCGGCGGCCCGAGUGGUGAUCGUGAUUAUUGGGUCUAAAGGGUCCGUAGCCGGUUUGGUCAGUCCUCCGGGAAAUCUGACGGCUUAACCGUUAGGCUUUCGGAGGAUACUGCCAGGCUUGGAGCCGGGAGAGGUAAGAGGUACUACAGGGGUAGGAGUGAAAUCUUGUAAUCCCUGUGGGACCACCUGUGGCGAAGG